UACGUAGGGGGCAAGCGUUGUCCGGAAUCAUUGGGCGUAAAGCGCGUGUAGGCGGCUCGAUAAGUCUGCUGUGAAAGUCCAGGGCUCAACCCUGGGAUGCCGGUGGAUACUGUCGGGCUCGAGUCCGGAAGAGGCGAGUGGAAUUCCUGGUGUAGCGGUGAAAUGCGCAGAUAUCAGGAGGAACACCAAUGGCGAAGGCAGCGCGCUGGGACGUGACUGACGCUGAGACGCGAAAGCGUGGGGAGCAAACAGG
rnacentral:rRNA from 1 species